CAUAGGAGUACAAAGGAUUAAUACGAAGUUAACUCGUGUUAAUACGUAGAAGUAUAUAAUGCAACGAUAUAAAAGAUCAGAGCACACGUGACAAUAAAUGCACGCACGUAGCCUAAUAAUCAUGCACAUCGGAUACCCGUGAAAGUGCAAGUUACAAACUCAAAAGAAGAAGGAAGAAAGUGGAACAGGGGCUCGAGUGGAGAAGAAAAGAUCCAUCGAGCCAUGUGGCAGGCGCAAACGCUCCCACACCGGAGGCAGUAACGAGCCAUCAAGUCUGCCGGUAAUCGAAUGCCAACUGCGAUCUUGUGUUUGCUCUAACGCCUUCGCGAGAAACAUGAAACUAACUAAUCGCUAUCUACGCUUACGUGUCUCUGAGGAAAUACUACUUUCACUUCUAAAUUUAUACAUAUAUGUCGUCCAAUUGACAUUCGUUGCUUGUUUUUCUGUAUUUUAAUCGAAUUUACAGACUUUUUCCAUGGAACGGCUAGAAUCUGGCCGAGAAACGUUGAGACCGAUUUUAAUCAUAAAUAUGAUAAUA